rfam:Harpegnathos saltator strain R22 G/1 HarSal_1.0_1.contig4935, whole genome shotgun sequence.
CUUCAGGUAGCUCAGUGGUUUAGAGCAGUCGUCCGGUAAGCGAAAAACCCGGGUUCGAUUCCCGGUCUAGCGA